rnacentral:sRNA from 1 species
CUCUUGCGCCUGCUGUGGGCAGAUCCAGUGAAUAUGCGUAUCCACGCCGCUUGCGGUGACGAUCUUGCCUUCCCCGGCGAUGACUUCAGUUCCCACGCCUAUCGGGAUCGUAACGUUGGGCUGAAUAUCGGGAUUACCUGCCUUUCCGAUGGCGAAGAUCCUGCCGGCUUUGAUACCAAUAUCCGCUUUCACGAUCCCCCAGUGAUCGACGAUCAGCGCGUUGGUUAUCACCAGAUCCACACAUGCAUCGGCGCGCAUUUGCCCCUGGCCCAUGCCGUCGCGGAU